CCCAGCGCGUGUCUGCACCUGCUGUCCCGAGAGGUAGGAGCACGGGGAUCCUGGCACGCCGUCAGCCCCUCUUCGCACGGGAACCUCGCCGGCACCAUCUUCCCUCCUCACAGGUGGCCCUGGGACCCCCGCCCCAUCUGGAGGUGGGCUCUAGCUCCCCACCUGUGUUUGUCACGACCCGGCCGCACACGGACCCGACACGGAGCCGGGUCUGCAGGCCCUCGGGCUCCCGAGCGGCCUCGUCGGCCGUGCGUGCUUUCCCCAGCCAACCGAGGUCGCAGCCGGCUCCUGUGCUUCCUCGUUUCUGCAGGCUGUCCCUCUUUGGUGCUGAGCAGCAACGUGUGUAUGGACGCACAACAGUUUAAGUGUCUGUCCUAUCUGCCGCUGAGGCCUGAGCUGUUCACACACACACACACACACACGCACACGAACUGCCGUGUCACGGAGGCGCUCAUCUUCAGGAUUACCAGGCUCGUUUCCAGACCACACGUACCAGUUUGCAGUCCCACCUGUGGUGCAUGUGAAAAUCCCCCAAAUUCUCAUCAGACUCUUGUUACUGUUACAGCUUUGGCCCAUCUGUUGAGAAAAUGACAUGCUGCUGUUUAUGUGUAACUCAAGCACUAGAUUAUUUUUUAACUGAAGUAUAACUGACUCACAACCUUACGU
rnacentral:lncRNA from 1 species